UUACUGUCAUUAGUUCAUAAAGUUUCGAAUUUUGUUGUUACGAAUAGAAGGUGAGUUUAAAAAGUAGUGUUGUGUUAUUGUGUACCAUAAGGUACCAUGUCAAUAGAAAAAUCUCUCUUGUUUUCUGCUUGGUGUGAAGGCAAUUCUUUGAAG